UUCACAUCCUCUGUCUCCCUCUCUUUCUGCCUCUCUCCCACUUAUGUGCUGUCUCUCAAAAAAUAAAGAAAAGAAAAGAAUUUUAGUAUCAUGCAUUCAAGAAUUCUUAAGAAAUAUUUGGCUUUCAAAGAGGGAAUGUGAAAAAUACUGAAGUUUCUAGAAACUAUUUGGUAAUGGACAUUUUUUUAAGUGGGUGACCAGAAUUUAAGAGUAUUCUCAUACUUUUUUUCUUGAAAGAUUCAUAUCAUUUUACUGUCAUUACUUCUUAGUUUACUAUACUUUACAGAAGUCAAAAAUCACUCUUUAAGUGCAUUAUCAAAACCAUGCUCAGAAGUGGUUUUGAUUGGCUUUGGAUGCAUCCAAAUUUGCCCUUCUAAUAUAGACCACAUUCAUUUGGUCUCCCUAUAAAUAUGGAUUCCUCCAAACCUGACUCCAAUCCCAUGUGUGCAAAAUUUACACUAAAAAUACAACAAUAUGUAGUGGCUAUAGUAAUUUAUAAUCCACUAUCCAUUCCUACCCCUACUCUGUCUCCACUCCCCAGACAUUUGGUCUAAAUUUAUGGUUCUCAAAUGCUUUGCUGCACAUUAGAGUCGCCCGGAAGUUUUUAGAACUCUCAGUGCCCCCGGCUGCAUCCCAGGAUCUCUAGAGGUAUUACAGCUUUUGCAGUGCCCGAAACAAAAACAGACUCUCCAUUAUAUUCCUCAAGGAAUAAUUUAUUAAAUGUGUUUUUAUAAAUUGGA